CAAUAAUUUCUCGAAAAUAGUGUGCAUCUGUUUGCUUAGAUGUGAAAAUGGAGGAAACUAACAUACCACUAGUUACUUCAAUUAUACCUUCAAAUGCUUAUUUCGAUGAUAUGAAUGCGAUACAUGAUGUGAAAAGCUUCGUAAAGAAAUUCAAUUACGAAUCGAAAAAGUUAUGGUACCUAGCAGGAUCUGACAUUUUCACUUACCUUUGCCAAUACUCAUUAGGUGCUGUUACUCAAAUCUUUGCUGAUCAUGUUGGAACCAUUUAACUUACUGCUGUUUCUAUCCAAAUCCUUGUUAUUGCUGGAUUUUCAGACGUAAUACUGCUUAGAGCUUUGGUAUUUUAUGUCUUUGAUUCUCGUCGCAGGAUAUGUUGAGGAUGCAGAAAUUGCCCUAGAUGCUACUUCCAUAUGUAUAAACAUAUUAGGAUGGACAUUCAUGUUGAGUAUAGGAUUCAAUGUUGGAAUAAGUGUAAGGGUAUCAAAUAAACUAGGAGCAGGACAUCCAAGAAGAGUAAAAUUCUCAGUGUUGGUGGUGUCAAUCACUUCACUUGUUAUUGGUACCUUGUCAGCACUUGUACUCAUUCUUAUACGAAGCCAAUAUCCAUUUUUUUUCACAGGUAAUGUCAAAGUACAAAAUAUGGUAUAUGACUUUACUCCUGUAUUGGCACUAGUGUCUAGUCCUCUUCAUCAACAUGCUCCAACCUAUACUC